UCUCUCUCUCUCUCCUCUCUCUCUCUCUCUUUCUCUCUCUUACUCAGCUAAAAAGUCCAAACCACAACCAGCUGUCAUUACCACAGCCACUCCAGGGGUCACUACGGCAACCCCCGCCACCACAUCAGGUACCGCACCUGUCCUGGUGGUCUCUCUGAGCCUGGCUGCAGUGGUGUGUGCUGUUCUACUCUUUGCACUCUACAAAUGGAGACAGAGGAAGCACCUCGUGCCAGAUGACUCAGCUGUUACACACAUCUAUCACCUGCCUAAUCCUGGAGUGGGUUUAAAUGAUAUCGAAUUAGACCCAACUGGAAAAAGUGGCCAAACGACAUCUGACUAUGAGUGAAUGGAUCCAACCGUCAACAACAGCGAUCCAGUCUACGAGAGCAUACAUAAUCCAGUUUACCAGCAGUUAGGGGCCCCAUCAGUUACGGUCUAUGAAAGCAUAGCCAAACAUGGCCACUGCAGCCAAACAGAUUCAGCCAACAGUUAGCGGUCCAAUCAGAUACGGCCUAAGAAAACAUACUGAAGAAUGUCCACUGCAGCCAAUCACAUGCAGCCAGAAGUUACAGUCCAAUCAGAUAAGGGUCUAUGAAA